UACGUAGGGUGCGAGCGUUAAUCGGAAUUACUGGGCGUAAAGCGUGCGCAGGCGGUUUUGUAAGACAGAUGUGAAAGCCCCGGGCUUAACCUGGGAAUGGCAUUUGGGACUGCAAGGCUGGAGUUUGGCAGAGGAGACUGGAAUUCCUGGUGUAGCAGUGAAAUGCGUAGAUAUCAGGAGGAAUACCGAUGGCGAAGGCAGGUCUCUGGGCUAUAACUGACGCUCAUGCACGAAAGCGUGGGGAGCAAACAGG
rnacentral:rRNA from 1 species